CUGGCAAACAGCAGCCUCUGGACAAGGCCCUCAACCAAGCACUUGGAGUCGGCUCCAGAAUGAACCCGUUCUGCACAGAACUAAUAGGAGUCAAAUAUGUCACUGGGGAGGCAAUCAGUGUUCACCCCCAGAAUAGGAUUUCUUGACAUUGCCUCUCUGGAUGAAGACAAACUUCUGCCUCAUUCAGAACUCCUCAGGUUGUUGCAACUUGUUUCAUCAACCCACAACCUUGGCCCACAGCCAGAAGGAACAGCCAUAGCUUCUAUGAAUUGCCAUCUCCAAGGUGCAGCUUCUUCAGCGAUGAGAAGAGGGCAUACACUGUGUGGUGAUGCCAUCCUACACUCACCGAGACAGAUGCAGCCACGGAGCACACAUUCGUCAUUUGAUUCCUUGGGGGACACCAGAUCUAUCAUCAAGGAGAAUGAAAUGGUACUUGUAGGUAGUUCGGGUACAUGGAAGAGACCAUGGCAUAGCUACUCUGCUUGAAGACUGUGUGUGAAGAAUCCAUACUUCUUUCUCAUCCCACUGAGUCCAGGGCACCUCCGGAUAUCACUAAGAGUUUCAGCUGCAGCUCUACAGGACGCAUGGACACAUGUAGGAUUCAAUCACUGUUUGAAACCUUGCUGUCCUGAACCUGGCCUGGAUCAUCGACUGCUCAAGAACAUGUCAGACCUGAGGCCGCUUGCCGGUGAAGAUCAUAGGAGACCAGUGGAUGGAUGUGGUCAAAAGUUAGUUCUGAUUCAGGAGUCCUAUUCCUGGGUCCUUGGAUACCCCUUGCCGUUGCCGCUCAUUAUUGAUUUGGGUGACAGAGAUGUUCCUGGAAUUACAUAGUUGAGUUUUUCUUGUGUUUGCCCCGGGGUGAUCUGUGACUUGUGGGGCAGGGGUGCUGGGGUUACGAUCAUCAUUUCCAAACUUUUCAAUGGCAAAUUGAAUUUCUUUUGAACACUAGGGGCCCUUUAAACGGUAGUUUAAGUAUUCAAUUUGCGCUUAGAGGGCACUGGGGAGGAGGGUGAGUGCAAAGGGAAGGAGUUCCCAAAACCUAUGAAAGAGGGAUGGAAACCAUUGUGGAGUUUUGCAGGGAAGACUUUUUUUUUUCUCUCCCUGAUUGAAAUAUUGCUUUAAAGCAUUGGCAGGCUUACAGAAGUAAAAUGAAAAACAAAUCCCACAAAAAUCCUGGAGGACCAUAAAACCAGCAAAUAAAGUGGCACAAAGUCCUU